rnacentral:rRNA from 1 species
ACUGCGCAGUGAAGCGGGAAAAGCUCAAAUUUAAAAUCUGGCAGUUCUUGCAGCUGUCCGAGUUGUAAUUUAGAGAAGCGUUAUCCGCGCUGGACCGUGUACAAGUCUCCUGGAACGGAGCGUCAUAGAGGGUGAGAAUCCCGUCCAUGGCACGGACUCCCAGUGCAUUGUGAUGCGCUCUCGAAGAGUCGAGUUGUUUGGGAAUGCAGCUCUAAAUGGGUGGUAAAUUCCAUCUAAAGCUAAAUAUAGGCGAGAGACCGAUAGCGAACAAGUACCGUGAGGGAAAGAUGAAAAGAACUUUGGAAAGAGAGUUAAACAGUACGUGAAAUUGUUGAAAGGGAAACGCUUGAAGUCAGUCGCGUCGUUCAGGGAUCAGCCUUGCUCUGCUUGGUGUACUUCCUGUUCGACGGGUCAGCAUCAGUUUCGAUCGCUGGAAAAGGGAUGCAGGAAUGUGGCAUCUUCGGAUGUGUUAUAGCCUGUGUUCGUAUACAGCGGUUGGGACUGAGGAAUCAGCACUCGAUGCUUGGGAUGCUGGCAUAAUGGCUUUAAGCGACCCGUCUUGAAACACGGACCAAGGAGUCUAACAUGCCCGCGAGUGUUUGGGUGGAAAACCCGGACGCGCAAUGAAAGUGAAAAGUUGGGAUCUCUGUCGUGGAGAGCACCGACGCCCGGACCAGAUGUUUUCGGACGGAUCUGCGGUAGAGCGUGUAUGUUGGGACCCGAAAGAUGGUGAACUAUGCCUGAAUAGGGCGAAGCCAGAGGAAACUCUGGUGGAGGCUCGUAGCGAUUCUGACGUGCAAAUCGAUCGUCGAAUUUGGGUAUAGGGG